UACGUAGGUGGCAAGCGUUGUCCGGAAUUAUUGGGCGUAAAGCGCGCGCAGGCGGUCCUUUAAGUCUGAUGUGAAAGCCCACGGCUCAACCGUGGAGGGUCAUUGGAAACUGGGGGACUUGAGUGCAGGAGAGAAGAGUGGUAUUCCACGUGUAGCGGUGAAAUGCGUAGAGAUGUGGAGGAACACCAGUGGCGAAGGCGGCGCUCUGGGCCGGUACUGACACUGAGGAGCGAAAGCGUGGGUAGCAAACAGG
rnacentral:rRNA from 1 species